GUGCACAAGACUGUUUUGGAGACGAUGC
rnacentral:sRNA from 1 species